rnacentral:rRNA from 1 species
AAACGAUGUCUACUCGGAAUUUGGUGUCUUGAACACUGGGUUCUCAAGCUAACGCAUUAAGUAGACCGCCUGGGGAGUACGGCCGCAAGGUUAAAACUCAAAUGAAUUGACGGGGGCCCGCACAAGCGGUGGAGCAUGUGGUUUAAUUCGAUGCAACGCGAAGAACCUUACCUACUCUUGACAUCCAGAGAAUUUGCUAGAGAUAGCUUAGUGCCUUCGGGAACUCUGAGACAGGUGCUGCAUGGCUGUCGUCAGCUCGUGUUGUGAAAUGUUGGGUUAAGUCCCGCAACGAGCGCAACCCUUAUCCUUAUUUGCCAGCACGUAAUGGUGGGAACUUUAGGGAGACUGCCGGUGAUAAACCGGAGGAAGGUGGGGACGACGUCAAGUCAUCAUGGCCCUUACGAGUAGGGCUACACACGUGCUACAAUGGCAAGUACAGAGGGUUGCGAAGCCGCGAGGUGGAGCUAAUCUCACAAAGCUUGUCGUAGUCCGGAUUGGAGUCUGCAACUCGACUCCAUGAAGUCGGAAUCGCUAGUAAUCG